GAUAAUGCGGCAUAUUUCCAACACGUUCAACGCUGUUUUUCGCCUAUGUUCAUCCAGGAUACACACCUCAUUCAACUUGAAUGGAUGGUUCUUGUCGAUGCUGUGUUGGAGUAAAGCAGUUUUUUCCCUCAGGUGAUGUAUUUUGGCAAUAGUGGAUGGGCUGGUGGCAUGUUCGUUUGGCUUGAGCUCAUUCAGUUUUUUAAUGUUCGACCGGUGGUUGCUGCUUCUUGUUUUAAGAGGCUGUGUAGUGAGUCCAACAUAGCAUGCAUCGCAGUUUGCACAGGGAAUUUUGUAAAUGACGUUGCUGCGAUCUAAUGUUGCGAUCCGAUCUUUGGUGUUCGUGAACAAAUAGUUUAUGGUGUGCUCAUUACGUGUAGCUAGGGUAAUUUCUAUACGUAGUGAUUUCUUUAUGCGCGCCGAUAAUCUGUCGAUGUAGGGCAAUGGUUUGAAUGUUGUUGGCAAUGUUUCUGCUAGGGCAUUUUGUACGUUCCUUCUCAUUGAUCUGUUCUGGAAUCUAUUUCGCAGCGAUAAAGGAUAGUGGUUGAUCUUAAGAUGUUCGUCUAUGAUGUCGUUGAUCGCUUCUGGGGGGAGGUUUGUGUUGAGUUUUCGUACUCUCAUGAUAAAGUUGGCAACCACAUUCAUUUUCAUAUGCAACAAGUGACAAGAGAAAUAGUCCAGGAAUCUACCCGAGGCCAUGGGUUUGGAAUACCAAUACCGUUUUGAUGGACUGGUCUGCUUUGCGGACUAGCACCAUGUCGAGAUAUGGAAUUCUACCUUCCUCUUCGCUUUCACACGUGAACUGUAGGUUGCUGUCAUAGCUAUUAAAUACAUCUAGAACUUCUUCGACUUUAUCUGCGGGCACUGCAAGGAUUAAGUCAUCUACAUAUUUUUUCAAAAGUGGGAACUAGUGAAUAGAGAUACCACAUCCAACGAAAUAAGAAUGUAGUUUGGUGGCAGUCGUACCGUAUUAAUGUACUCGCAGAAACUGUAAGAGUCUGUUACAUUAUACUCACACUCAAUCGAUGCUCGCACGAUGCGUCCGAUAUAUUUAGACAGCAUGUAUGAUGGUCCUCCGAUGUUGGGUACGACUGGCCGGAGCGGUAGGUCCUGCUUAUGUACUUUUGGUAGUCCAUAUAUUCUUGGGCAAUGCGAUGACAAAGUGCGUAGCUGAUAGGCUGUGGUUGAAUCAAUCAACUCUAAGUUUAGCAGUCGAUUCACCAGAUCGUUGUUUUGCUUUUGAAAACCCGAUCUAGUGGUUUUCGUGGUGUGUUCAGUGUGUGUUUGCAAAAAAUUAUCCUGGAACCGAAGAAAACUCUGUGCGAUAUGUUCAGGCAGGAUAUGCACAAUCCGUCCUAUGCGUAUUGAGAAAUUACCCUAGCUACACGUAAUGAGCACACCAUAAACUAUUUGUUCACGAACACCAAAGAUCGGAUCGCAACAUUAGAUCGCAGCAACGUCAUUUACGAAAUUCCCUGUGCCAACUGCGAUGCAUGCUAUGUUGGACUCUCAAAAGCAUCUCAAAACAAGAAACAGCAACCACCGGUCGAACAUUAAAAAACUUGAUGAGCUCAAGCCAAACGAACAUGCCACCAGCCCAUCCACUAUUGCCAAAAUACAUCACCUGAGGGAAAAAACUGCUUUACUCCAACACAGCAUCGACGAGAACCAUCCAUUCAAGUUGAAUGGGGUGUGUAUCCUGGAUGAACAUAGGCGAAAAACAGCGUUGAACGUGUUGGAAAUGUGCCACAUUAACACGAACGACCAUACAGUAAACAAACGCAGUGAUGUUGAAGGCUUGAGCACAACAUAUACAGCAAUCAUGCAACACGUCAAGCGAAGUACAGAAAUAAACAACAGCAAACGUCAACGGUCGCUAACAGCUUCCACCGAGUGUCACACAGCAUAACUUGUGCGCAAUAGAAUUUGCAUGCAAGGUUGCUGGUUACGGAAAAAAUGAUUUAGUAUGAUUGAGAGUGCUACGAGUUCCGCUUCGUUAAAGUGUCUAGUGUUUUAUUUUUUAAUUUUCAUAAUGUUGUUUAGUAUCUGUUUUUGACAAUUAAUGCUCUAGCCAAAGAACCACUUUACAGGAAAAUGGUCCCCUCGAGCCUUGAUAAAGAAUAUAUAUUAUUCGAAACGUCGGUGUAAGAGAAAAAUAUCGUUUUCUUUUCACAUUUUAAAGACUGCGAAGCCGAAAGAAAUUCCUCUGAGUAAACUAACAGUCGAUAAAAAGUAUAGUGAUUUGUGCAACGUAAUAACAAUGAUAUGUACAACAAAACACGCAACGCAUCACGGGACAAAACACUUAUGGUUCUUACAAACGGAAAAAACGGAUGUUGUUGUCGGACCGUCGUCGAGUUCGGACGCGCGUGCUGCACUAUAGUAUAUAUAUAUACAUUUUUUUUUUACUACUUAACUUUUUUUGUACCUCAACUUUUUUUUUUUCAUCCAACCGACGACGUGUGGAACGCGCGCAAGCAUUCAAAAGUAGUUUAUUUGUUUUUACUUGAUACGGUCAUUUGUUAACGUCGCGAGUGCAAUGAAGUGCGGUAUCGUAAACUGUGCGCAAGGUGACAAUCGCUACCUCUGGCGUUGUCACGGAAUCUGUAACCGAACAUUUCAUGCUGCGUGCAUAGGUGCACAAAGAAAUCACGAGGAAAUCCUGCGGACUUUUAUG